CAGCAGCCACGGGAAUACGUAGGGUGCGAGCGUUAAUCGGAAUUACUGGGCGUAAAGCGUGCGCAGGCGGUUGUGUAAGACAGGUGUGAAAUCCCCGGGCUUAACCUGGGAACUGCGCUUGUGACUGCACAGCUAGAGUAUGGCAGAGGGGGGUGGAAUUCCACGUGUAGCAGUGAAAUGCGUAGAGAUGUGGAGGAACACCGAUGGCGAAGGCAGCCCCCUGGGCCAAUACUGACGCUCAUGCACGAAAGCGUGGGGAGCAAACAGGAUUAGAUACCCGAGUAGUCCCUGUCUCUUAUAU
rnacentral:rRNA from 1 species